AUAACACAGUUAAGAAGGAGAAAACAUUAAAAACCCGAACAAACAAACCCUCUCUCUUUAUUGAUUGUUACAGAUUCAGCGUUGACAGGGGUUGUUCUGAAUGUAACAGGAUCCCAUGGCAGAUGGAAACCAGACUCCAGGCAUUUGCAGUGUUUUUCACUGAGGAGGCCUUAAAAACAUUGUCUUAGAGGAAUUUCCUCACUAGUGCAAAAUCCGUGUUGCGUAAGGACAUAGCAGUGCACCUUUAGAGCUGUCCAGGCAUGGGGAAGCUAUGUCCUCUACCAGUGUGGAUACUGUCAUCUCCGAAAAACCUCAUGGGACAUUCAAGGCUCCUUGUAGCAAUCCUCUCAUCCCACCCUCCCCUUGGAUUAUGAGAUACCUGUAUAAGAAGAUAAGACAGAGUCUGUGUGGUCACCACCUGGAUGUCAGAUCAUUCCAACAGAGUGAUGAACGAAGCUGGAAAACCUGGUCAAUUCAGAGCUGACAAAAAGUAAAACACAAUCAUGUCUUUGAGAAAUACUCAAGUAGCCUGGGAAUCAUUGCCCCUGGAUGUCCUCAAGGCUGAGAGAGCUGAAUGGAGUUCAAAAGGAGGUUUGACGUUUGUAUGGAUAA